GCCAAAGAUGCAGAAAAAGGAUGUUGAGUCUCUUCUUCUUGAGUUCAGAAAGCUCCUUUUGAUUGGUGAGCAGAACAAAGUGGAUCCUUCAGAGUUCCCAUCUGUGUUUGUGUCUCAGCCUGUGUUAGGAUUCAGGGCUGUAGCUGUUGUUGUCACUGAGGAGUCAAACUAUGCUUUAAAUAAGGAGACACUGGCCUAAUGGACAAGUGUCAGGAAAAAAGGGGGAAUGAUAUCUGAGUGUUGAGAUGUAACAAGAGCUGAUCCUUUUUGCAGUGGGAUGUAGCCUGGAAACUGCACAGAGCUGGGUCAAGGGAUUGAAAGGGACCAAGCAAGGGAGGUGAAGAAAGAAGGAAGAAGGGAAGUGAGGCAGCAGGCAAGCAGCACCAAGUUGCUGUGUAAGCAGGUGAGUUGUGUUGAGGUUCCUAAGGCAGGCACUGAGGACUUUGAGGGCUCCAGACAGAGCAGACCUGGGAAGGCCCUCGGUGAAGCCCCUUGGAAACCUUCUAAGGGUAGGUGUGUAUGGUAAUAAGUGUGUGAAAAUGUCCUGAGUAGGGAUUAGGAAUGCAGGGAAGGAAAAUGAAUCCUCCUGUAAUGCUGCCAUAUCAGCUGCAGUGGAGAUAGCUCUGUGUGCCCUUUGGGAGCUGAUUGCCAGGACUCCUGGUGGGCUGGAAUGAUUCAAGAGCGUGGGAAUAAAAGAUUGCCUGGCUUCUAAAACUCAUCAAUUGAGUCUCAGAGGUUCUUGUAAGAAAUUUUAGGCAACACCUGAACUUGUAGUGUGUGUACUUCUGAGUUCAGCUGGAAAGAGAUUGUCCAGGGAACAGGAAUGUUUCUCAUUCCAGGAAGUUGCCCUUGAUGAACUUCCCAUCUGAGCUGAUGCCCUUGGCAGGAGAAGUGCUCAGCAAGGAGGCUCUUUGCUCCUAGGCAGGAAGAAAGGUCAGUGCCCUUCCUCCCCAAGGCCCAGCCCAGCAGGGCUGGCAGGAGCUGCUGGUGUGGCUGCUCUUUGGGUUCUCAGCUGUGCCCGUGGGUUGGUGACAUCGUGUUCCUGCCUGUGCUCCAGGGCAGCCAAAAGCCCCAGCCCAGCCCCUGGGCCUUUGUGGGAGCCUGAGCUAUUGUAGUACUGGGGAUGGGGGUUUGGGUUUUUGUUUCCCUAAAAGUAGAACCAUUGGGGGUAUCUCUUAUCUCACAGUUGUUGUUUUGAUAUCUUAAUUAAUUACAACUUUAGAAGAAAACCUUCUGUAACUUAACAACUGACUUGCCCUGGUUCCACUGAAAGUGCCAAGGAGUUGUAGUGUCCACUGGAUUGUUUGUAUUGAAGCAGUUUGGUGUUUACAGAGGGAUAAUAACUCCUGUCAGCAGCAAGGUCCCGACUGAAGUGGCAGCUGCAGUUGUUCCUGUGGUGUGGGCCAGUGGAAUUCCAAGAAAAUGGACAAGGACAGAAGCUGUAAGAAUUACCCCUAAGGCAGAGUCUCUCCUGGCAGAAGAGCCCAGGCCUGAGCUGGCUGAGUGUUGGUGUGACCCAGAGUGGGUGUCCCUGCCCUCGGGACAGUCCCCAGAGCUGCCUUUGGCAUCCCCUGCUGAAGGGUGGGAGCUGCCCAGAGCCAGCAGCAUCCAGCUGGAGGAUGCAGGAGGAUGCAGCUCUGCUUUGCUGGGAGGUAAGAGGUGGGGGUGCAGGAGCUGGCAGGGGUGUUUUGCAGGCAGAGGGAGGGCAGGAGCAGGAGACUUGCAGGUGCAGCAGCUGGGUCAGUGCUGGAUGGAGUCAGGCUGGGAAAGGGCCCUGAGUGUCAGGGCAGGGGAGAGCCCAGGGUGGCCCUGGGAGCCCUGGGGCUGUGACCAAGUGCAGUGGGCAAAGGAAGGGGCACUGGAGAGCUGGGCAAACAGCUGGAGGAGUUGCAGGGAGCACCAGGAGACUGGAAUGCAGGAGCAGCAGCUCCCUGUGUGUGUGUAGAACCAGCUGUGCUGCAGCCCCCAGUGAGGUGGGAAAUGAACCUCAGGAGGCUGGGAAAGAGUCACACACACUGGUUAAAGUGGGCUGGACUCUUCCCAAGUGUCUGAAAAGCUUUUUGUUGUUGUUGUUUGUUUUGCUUUAUCAGUUGAAAACUGAAGUGAUUUUCAAGGUGUUGGCAGUUGUUUUCCUGUGUCUUUGGUGAGGUGUUGACUCAGUACCUUUCCUGGAGCUGCUGUUGGAUGAAGAGGUGCCCCCAGUUGACCUGUAAGGUCCUGGUUUUCUUCCCUGCUUCUCCCAGCUUGUCCAGGAGAUGGAAUUCCAGUGCUACAGUCUAGAUGGGUCGUGGUGCUUCCAAAAGGAGCCUCUGUGCCUUCAGGACAAGUUCUGUUGCCACUGAAGCUGUUGGAGAAGUGGAGCACUGGCAGUGAGAGGAGAAAAUCUGGAAAGCAGGAAGGAAGAAGAGAAGCCCCGUGACUCCUCCCUGAGCCCCAGACAGCCCCUGAACUGCCUUGCUGGGAAUGGUGGGACGGGCUGGACUCUGGAUUGCUCCCUCUGGAUGUGUGGUAAGACUGUUAUGGCAACUUUUCCAACAGCCUGUAAGAAUUUGCUGCCUUGGCUGGAUGGUGCAAGGGCAGCCUUUAAGCAGCUGAAGCCUUCCCGGAGGAGAGCUCUGGGUCUGCCAGAUGUGUCAGAAGUGUUGGAAGCAUCUUUGGUGGGGAGGGCAAAGAAAGGCCAAGGGGUGCAGUGACCCCCCUGAGAAGGGACUUUGAGUUAAUGGCAUCCCUGCAAGUGAACUCUGUGGGCUGUUCCCCCUGUAGGGCAGGUGAUAGUCCCAGCUACAGUGAUGGGAGAAAUGGUUAAAAGGGAGCCCCAAAAACUGGAAAUGCUCCUGGAGGCUCUUGGCAAAGAGAGUUUGCUGAGUUCCCCCUGACAGAAGGACAGUGAUAGCUUUUGAGUGCUGGUAGAUCCUUUGAAUAGAUAGCCUUGAGUGUGUCCUUGUUGCCCCAGUAGGCCUUGUCCAACUCCCCAUCUUCCAGGGGAUAGACAUAUUAAAGUUUAAAAUGCUCUUCCUAAUCCUUUGUUGG